GGGGAGGUAGUGACAAUAAAUAACAAUGCGGUUCCAAAUUUGGUUCUGCAAUUGGAAUGAGAACAAUGUAAAUACCUUAACGAGGAGCAAUUGGAGGGCAAGUCUGGUGCCAGCAGCCGCGGUAAUUCCAGCUCCAAUAGCGUAUAUUAAAGUUGUUGCAGUUAAAAAGCUCGUAGUUGGAUUUCGRAACGAUCGGGUUGGUCUGCCCARCGUGGUUUGUACUAGCCUCGGUGUGUAUGGUUGGUCCUUGUGGCUGGCCUGCUACCCGUGUUGCACGUGUGUGUAGCAUGUGAUCGUUCUUCUCCCUCGGAGACGAGGUCUGUCCUUCAUUGGAUGGGCUUUGGAUGCGAGGUGUUUACUUUGAAAAAAUUAGAGUGUUCAAAGCAGGCCUGAUCUCGCUUGAAUACAUUAGCAUGGAAUAAUGGAAUAGGACUCUGUGCCUAUUUUGUUGGUUUGAAGGCAUGGAGUAAUGAUUGAUAGGGACAGUUGGGGGCAUUCGUAUUUAAUUGUCAGAGGUGAAAUUCUUGGAUUUCUGAAAGACGAACAACUGCGAAAGCAUUUGCCAAGGAUGUUUUCAUUAAUCAAGAACGAAAGUUAGGGGUUCGAAGACGAUCAGAUACCGUCGUAGUCCUAACCAUAAACAAUGCCGACUAGGGAUCAGCGUACGUUCGUGUGAUUGGACGUCGUUGGCACCUUACGAGAAAUCAAGAGUGUUUGGGUUCUGGGGGGAGUAUGGUCACAAGGCUGAAACUUAAAGGAAUUGACGGAAGGGCACCACCAGGAGUGGAGCCUGCGGCUUAAUUUGACUCAACACGGGAAACCUCACCAGGUCCGGACAUAGUAGGAUGACAGAUUGAGAGCUCUUUCUUGAUCUAUGGUGUGUGCAUGGCCGUCUAGUGGUGGAGUGAUUUGUCUGG
rnacentral:rRNA from 2 species